UACGAAGGGGGCUAGCGUUGCUCGGAAUCACUGGGCGUAAAGCGUGCGCAGGCGGCUUCUCAAGUCAGGGGUGAAAGCCCAGAGCUCAACUCUGGAAUUGCCUUUGAGACUGAGUGGCUUGAGUACGGGAGAGGUGAGUGGAAUUCCCAGUGUAGAGGUGAAAUUCGUAGAUAUUGGGAAGAACACCGGUGGCGAAGGCGGCUCACUGGCCCGUAACUGACGCUCAUGCACGACAGCGUGGGGAUCAAACAGG
rnacentral:rRNA from 1 species